AUCGCUUCUCGGCCUUUUGGCUAAGAUCAAGUGCAAAAUAACAUAGGACCAUUUUUGUGAUAGAAAAUUUUAUUGCAAAUAUGUAGUGCAAAGGUAGGCGAUUUUUCCCAAUGACUCUAUUUUUUUUUUUUGGUAAUGGUUAAGAAAACUUGUU
ensembl:snRNA U2 U2 spliceosomal RNA